rnacentral:lncRNA from 1 species
AUAUCAAUCAAUGUAGGUUUGCAACUGUAAACCUUCCUGUAUGCCAAGGACGUGUCCAGGUGCCAGGCAAAGAGGACCUUCUGUUACACUGAACAGGGGGAAGAUAAAACAGAAAAGGAUGCUGUUCUUGAUAUUGUCAGUGGAGAAGUCCAGUCUGGGGCCAAAACCACAAAAGUGAAGCCUUACAAAACCAGAAAACCAAGCAGAAAGAUCUUCAGCUGAUAAUGCCCUCUUUCCUCAGUAUGCAGACAGCAUUUUCCUUGAUAGAUGUAUGCAUUCCUGUGGAAAAGACUCCACCAUUCUGCUGACAUCUGAUGCUUGACAGGCUCUGGACAGAUGGAAAAAAUUGAGGAAUCAAACCAGAACAAGUUGCACUGGGACUAUUAUGUGCAAAGAAGCAAGCUCUGCACUGAGAAGGUAACAAAGGAGCAGGCCAAAUACUAGAAGGACGGGAGGACAGACCCUGUCACGCUGCUGCCACUCGUGUUGCUUUCGCUGCGCUCAACCCUUCUGUCUUCAUGUCACCAUGUGGUA